rnacentral:rRNA from 1 species
UACGUAGGUGGCAAGCGUUGUCCGGAAUUAUUGGGCGUAAAGCGCGCGCAGGCGGUCCUUUAAGUCUGAUGUGAAAGCCCACGGCUCAACCGUGGAGGGUCAUUGGAAACUGGGGGACUUGAGUGCAGAAGAGGAGAGUGGAAUUCCGCGUGUAGCAGUGAAAUGCGUAGAGAUGCGGAGGAACACCGAUGGCGAAGGCAACCCCCCUGGGCUGACACGUGACGCCUCGAGGCACGAAAGCGUGGGGAGCAAACAGG